AAUUGCCUUUUUUUGGAUACUUUGGAGUGCCUGGAUUACUUUCUACAUUUCUAUUACAUAUUUGGUCUCUUGGUACUGGGACUGAUCCGGUUAGCACCCAAGUAUACCUUAGACGAAGGGUUUGAGUGCAGUUCCACAUUUUCUCUAUGUCUAUCAGUGUGUGUCCGUCAGUGAGUUUGUAUCUGUCUGUCAGUGAAUGUGUUUGUUUGUUUGUGUGUGUGCAUAUCUGUGAGUGAGUGAGUGUGUGUGUGUCUGUCAGUGUAUGUCUGUGAGUGAGUAUGUGUGUCUGUC